GUUUUUUUGUUUAUUUGUCCAGGAGAAGUGGGAAUACUGAAGAAAUUGUACAUUAUUACAACAGUGGACAGUUGGCUGCAGUUCAUACCAAGAGACAAAGAAAGUCAUGCCUAAUGACUAAAACAGACAGCAGGUUGCAAAUUUGGACUUCAUGAUGCAUUCCAGCCAGUAACAUGAAAGACAGGAAAUAUCUUACAUGUGCUGCCUUUGGGAAACAAGAGAAGAUAUGGAGGUCAAGUAUGGCUCUGCUAUGUUUGCUGAUAAAUCUUUUUCUAAUAGUGGGCUUUUUCCUUUUUCCUUUUUCUUUUCUCUUUCCCCCCUGAGCAGUGGGAAGAUGAAGCAGCCUUGCUGCCAGCUGCUCAGUGUUGGUCGCUGCCUGCGAGAAGGAUGGGCCCAUCAGCACGGCUGAGCGCGGCCGUUCAUCACCCAGCACGUGCAGAGGUGGGCCUGGGAGUGACCUUGAGCACUGCACCAGCAGCACCUGGCCAAGCCAGUGAUCAUGGACAUUCCUUAGCUCCAGGCCAAUGAAUUUUUAGGAAGACGAACUGAAUAACAUUUACAAAAAUCAGAAAGUGUUGAUGGUUGUGUUUCCAUGCAUUUGGCCCAUCUAUGAAGGAAGCUAUAAGGCAGCUUUCAUGUAUGAGCUGCUUCCAUUUUCCCUAUCUUGAAGUAAAAUCUCAGCUGUACGCAUGGAUACAGGAACUACAUCACCUGCUGGCACUGGCCUGUCCUGAGGACAGCAGGAACUCUCCAUCAGGAGCUUCAGACUCAAUGAAGCAGAAAAACAAUGUUAGUCUUUGGUGGCCAGGGAAAAGGAGGAAAGCUCGUGGUGGUCUCCAGAUUAUCUGGCCCUGACUGAAGCAAUCUCCUUCCACAAGGAGAGAGCAAAGGGCUGGCAAGUGCAGGCUAUUGGAGAGGACUUCUGGCUUUUUUCCAGGGUAUCUGCCUGUCUCAUUGCAUAUUGGUAUCAUCCAGGGCACCCAACAUGAAGCUCUCUAAUGUUAAUGAUAAAAAAAAUUACUUCCCUGUGACUGGGGUUGGAGCGAGCACAAGAGGCAUCACUGUUCUUUCAGGCCAUUGGCACCAAAGGUAGCUGUGCUUUCCAGGAGGCUCCUGGGGUUAGUGCCUACAGCACUCAAAGCCAGGCCUUUGCCUCAAAUCUCAUCCAUCACUUUUGGGAUAAAAAGAGGGCUGCUUCAAGGACUGAGCAAGUCCAGGUCACAGUUUUGAAUGUUCCUGCUCAGGACAUGCUAAAGUACAGAUUCCAGUUUUCCCUGGACUCACCAAGAAUGUAAGAAGCAAACUCAGUGAUGAGGGGAUAUAAACCCAAGGGUCAGGACAUAAAGCAGAGGAUAUGAUAUGUCAGAGCAUAGGAACUGGGCUUUUGGAUGAAGCCAUCAUCAGAGAGGUACUCCAGGAGGAUGCUUCCUAAGCUCCAGCCAGUCAAGACAUGAGGCUAAACUGGAAAAUCAGCCACAGGAUAGUGUGGAUGUGGAGUCCUCACUACCAGCUGUGUUUCUGCUCCUGUUUAGCUUUCCAGAGUAGGCAGAGCCAUCUGACAUCCAGGAACACUCCAGUUGUGGAAAAGAUUCCAGAAUAUCACCAAGAAGAGGACUAGGCAAUUUCAAGUCUUUG